UAUAAAAUAUUUCGUCUCUUCAAAUAAUGUGUUAAAACGGCUUCGUUUCGAGUGAGCGUCUUUCCCGUCCGUGCAGCCUGCAGGUGUGACGAUGGGAGACACCGUCGAGGAGAAGACCGCCGUAAUCCAAGCUCCAUAAUCCAAAGAGGGACUAAGAAGGGGUAUGAAGCUAUAGCAUUGCCUGAGCCUGCACCAAGGCAAUUACCUAAGAAUGAGGAUCCUAGUCUAGUUAAGAGAAACAGAAGAAUGCUGGGGAAUCUUCUAGGGACUUUGGAGAGGUUCAGAAAGGAAGAUAAACAGCUUUCUGGAACAGAUGCCUAUGCCCGACGGUCUGCUGUUCUACAGAAGGCUGAGCAAAAGGCUCGUGAAGAAAGUGAGCGACUAAGGAUGCAAGAGCGUGAAAAUAUGACUGAAAAGAGGAGAAGAGAUCUUACGCUUCGAGCCCGUGUUGCUGCUAAAGCAGAACAAAAGGAGUUGGAACUGCUAUUCCUUCGGUGGUGUGAGGAGAAGAAAAAACGAAGCAAUUUUAUAAGGUUAUUUUUUAUUUCGGUCCAAAGUGUGCAUAUUCACAAUUUAAUAGAAGCAAAGAUAAGUUUCCCUUCACGUGUAUGCACAUGUUGAUGGGCCAGCGAUAGGUAGAAAUUGCUAGCUGAUAUUAUAUGUUUCUGUUAACAUUCUUUGCAUUUGAUUUCAUAUGGACGGCUGUUUCAGGACUAAAGCAGAGCAACUGACGCGGACCAACGCAAAGAACAGACAUUCUUAGAAUGGAAGGCAGCCAAGAGACAAGAAGUGAGUGAGUAUCAAAAGGAGGUAGAAGAGCGAUAUCUAAGUAAUGUCGAGAAAGAGCUGGAAAGGUGGCAAAACGCAAGGAAGGCGAGGAAAGCAAACAACGAGGCUAUGAAUUUGCAGGAGACAAUGGAUAAGGAGUUAGAGACGCAUAGGAUGGAGCACGGGCUAAAGAAAAGGAAGAUACCUGGAGCUGGAGGAGAAGAUGAAGAAGAUGAAGUAGAGGAUAUCAGUGGUGGGGAGGAUGAUAUAACAAUAGAUGAUUUACUGCAAGAGGGAGGAGAUGGAAACGUCAAGGAAGUGGCCACUGAUACUGCAGAAGCAGUGGAAGGCGACAUUACACUUUAAGUUGUCAAAGAUGUUAGUGUGUUUGUUCUUGAUGCUUGUGUUACUUAUAGUGCACCUUAUUAUGCGGGAGUUUACGAGUUAGAAAACGACUGAGAAAAUCUAUUUCAGAGGGGUGUUAGCUGGGGAAACUGGAAAAAUCUAUGCUGGAGUGUGUUAUUGAAUGAAGGAUUUUGCCUUGUGCUA